rnacentral:misc_RNA from 1 species
ACCAAUAUAACAAAACAAACGACUACAUUAGACUAAGUAGAUCAUUUUUUCUCGAUAGGUAAAAAUACAAGAGUAUUACUUGUAAAAAUCUAUGCAAAACUGAUUGAGCGAACUUCAUAUAAAACCGGUACAUACAACAUCUAAAAGUCUUUAAGAAGAGCUAAAAAUUCAUAAUAAAAUCACUAGCUAGCUAUAUGAUUUAUGGCCACCAGAGCAAUGUGAAUAUGUUGUGAUUAUAUCUGAAGUUGAAUCUACGCUUGUGGCUGUGAGGUACCUAGCACUAAUCCUUUCAAUGCAGGCAUCAAUUCCUCUAACACUUCCCUUUUGCUCAAAAUUCUGUCAGAUGUACAAUCUUCCUCUUCCCCAGUUGCAGCAGCCAUUAGAGCCAAGACGCUCACUGUUCCACUCUGGUAAUCAACCAAAGUCUUGAAUGCCGAGUCAUCCAAUUUAUCCUUUAACCGAGAGACAGCAGCUGAAAUGGCUCUACCAGGAGCCUGAAGAGCUUUUCCAUGAACCUGUACAUAAAGGAGAGAUAUAACUUGCGGUAAGAGGGAAACUGGAUCCGUUUCAGCAGAAACUUGAGAUGUCAAAUCCUUGCGAUAUGAAUGCAAAAGGGUUCUUUCCAAUUUCUUGUCUAGCUUCUUCAAAGCUAAUCCACUUUCCUCGGCAACUUCUCUCAGUGCAGACAUAAAUGAUUCCACCCGCUUCCCUUCUAAAGCUUCAACUGUUGCAAUGGCCUUGGCUGACAUACUACCUGGCAGACUCUUAGCCAGAGCGCUUCUAUCUCCAGGGCUAAGUAAAAUGGAUUCGGGAGCUUGAGGUUCAACCGGAACUCCAUUUUUUAGUUUAUUGAGCAUAUCCAGGUUAAGCAACAAUGUAUCAACAAUUGAGGUUCCUGUAGUUCGCAAUAGAUGCUUGUGUAGAAGAACGGAAGUUGAUGGGUCAUCUUCAAACAAAUCGAGGGCUUUUUCAUAAAGCUGCAUGUUUAAAAAUGACUCAUCAAGUUUCUUUUGCAAAUUAUCAAGUAGUUUUUUUAUUUUUUGGGUAUUUUCAGUGAAAGCAGCCUUCUUUCGUUCCUUCCAUGAAUUGACGAGCAAUGGCCUCAGAUGUUUUGCUAAAGGCAACAGAAUCAUCUCCGGGUCAUCCAGACCUUGUUCUUCAAAAUCAGGAUUUAGAGAUGUAAUCUUCUGAAUUACCCAUUCUUCAGAAAUACCGCCAACACUGUCCUCAUCAUUUCUAGCACCUGACUUUGAUUCUGACAUUUGUGAGCCAGAUGACACCUUACCUUUCCUCUGGCUUUUCUUAGAUUUACUUGGGGCAGAUUCCUGGUUAUCUGUCCCUGUUUCAGCUUGCGCCAUCUUAAUAUUCCCACCUGAUUUUCCUUUUUUCUUCUUAGAUCCUUUCUCCGACGCCUGUUUGCUGAUACCGGCAUCACUGCUUGUUUCAUUUACUACAAUGUUGCUAUUAUCAUAUCCAACUUUAGCAUCUCUAGAAACACGAAACUCAUCUACAGGGCCAGAACCGACAAGCCCUGGAAUGGUUAAUGUUUCCAUCUCUUUUUCCAUCCGAUCAAACAGAUCCUUGACAAACCCAUUGCUAAAUAUAUAUGUAUCUCCCAAGAUUAGUGCUCUAUUUGACUUUUGUGCUGCUUGAACUGAUGGACAUAAUGACAAAAUCUUAAAUGCAUCUUGGCUACCGAAGGAAGCGGGUAAAACUGAAAGCGAAUCAAUCCAGCUAUUACGUUCUAUGGCAUCCUCAACAGCGGCAUCCAGCAUCUCAAUUAUAGAAGGGUGAGCAAAUGUUGAGUCCAGAGAUAUACCAUCUGGAUAUCUGGACUGCAGGAAUUGAGAAGGUUGUGGAAUCCCGAGUUUUUGCAGAGCUUGAUAAGUAACAAAAGAAUUCUGCGAAAAUAAGGAAUCUACACAGUCCUUUUGUGCUAUGGCAAAGACUGAAGGUGUCCAAUGAACUCCUGCACGAAGAGAGCCGAGAAUCUCGCCUUCUUUCACUAAGCCAUUAAACAAGGACUGGAAAAA